rnacentral:SRP_RNA from 1 species
GCCGGGCGUGGUGGCGGGCGCCUGUAGUCUCAGCUACUUGGGAGGCUGAGGCAGGAGAAUGGCGUGAACCUGGGAAGCGGAGGUUGCAGUGAGCCGAGAUCGCGCCACUGCGCUCCAGCCUGGGUGACACAGCAAGACACCGUCUCAAAAAAAAAAAAAAAAAAAUUGUUUUUGGACUGAGCCUAGCUCUGUUGCCCAGGCUGGAGUACAAUGGCGCAAUCUUGGCUCACUGCAACCUCUGCCUUCCAGGUUCAAGGGAUUCUCCUGCCUCAG